UGGCUCAGUUGGUAGAGCAUGGCACUUCCAAUGCCAGGGUUGUGGGUUUCGAUUCCAAU
rnacentral:tRNA from 1 species